GCAUAUCAAUAAGCGGAGGAAAAGAAACUAACAAGGAUUCCCCUAGUAACUGCGAGUGAAGCGGGAAGAGCUCAAAUUUGAAAUCUGGCGGUUCUGCCGUCCGAGUUGUAAUCUGGAGAAGCGUUUUCCGUGCCGGACCGUGUACAAGUCCCUUGGAACAGGGCGUCAUAGAGGGUGAGAAUCCCGUCUUUGACACGGACUCCCGGUGCUCUGCGAUGCGCUCUCGAAGAGUCGAGUUGUUUGGGAAUGCAGCUCAAAAUGGGUGGUAAAUUCCAUCUAAAGCUAAAUAUUGGCGAGAGACCGAUAGCGAACAAGUACCGUGAGGGAAAGAUGAAAAGCACUUUGGAAAGAGAGUAAAACAGUACGUGAAAUUGUUGAAAGGGAAACGCUUGGAGUCAGUCGCGUCUUCCGGAACUCAGCCUUGCUUCUGCUAGGUGCACUUUCCGGUUCGACGGGUCAGCAUCGGCUUUGGGAGGCGGACAAAGGCGCGGGGAAGGUGGCAGCUCCGGCUGUGUUAUAGCCCCGCGUUGUACGCGUCUCCCGGGACCGAGGAAUCCGGCGCUCGUCGCCUGGGAUGCUGGCGUAAUGGCUUUAAGCGACCCGUCUUGAAACACGGACCAAGGAGUGCUACAUGCUCGCGAGUGUUUGGGUGGAAAACCCGAGCGCGCAAUGAAAGUGAAAGUCGAGACCCUUUGCGGGGGCACCGACGCCCGAGCCUGAAGUUUACGGACGGCCUUGCGGUAGAGCGAGUAUGUUGCGACCCGAAAGAUGGUGAACUAUUCCUGAGGAGGGCGAAGCCAGAGGAAACUCUGGUGGAGGCUCGUAGCGGUUCUGACGUGCAAAUCGAUCGCAGGACUUGGGUAUAGGGGCGAAAGACUAAUCGAACCAUCUAGUAGCUGGUUCCUG
rnacentral:rRNA from 1 species